UACGUAGGGUGCGAGCGUUGUCCGGAAUUACUGGGCGUAAAGAGCUCGUAGGUGGUUUGUCGCGUUGUUCGUGAAAACUCACAGCUUAACUGUGGGCGUGCGGGCGAUACGGGCAGACUGGAGUACUGCAGGGGAGACUGGAAUUCCUGGUGUAGCGGUGGAAUGCGCAGAUAUCAGGAGGAACACCCGUGGCGAAGGCGGCUCUCUGGGCCUUACCUGACGCUGAGGAGCGAAAGCGUGGGUAGCGAACAGG
rnacentral:rRNA from 1 species